AAUAAGGGUAGAGGUGCGAAACUAAAGAGUAGAGGCUUGGAGAAGUAUGAGAUUCGAUGAAAAGCUUUGAAAGGGAGUUUUGCCGAAGCAAAAACAAGGCUCAUUCCUGUUUUUGCUGGUCUAAGCAUUUAAGAAAUGCUGGACUGUCAAGAUGUGUGGUACAUCUUGGAGAGCUAUCUCGCAU
rnacentral:ncRNA from 2 species